rnacentral:rRNA from 1 species
GUGGGGAAUCUUCCGCAAUGGACGAAAGUCUGACGGAGCGACGCCGCGUGAGUGAAGAAGGCCUUCGGGUCGUAAAGCUCUGUCAUCAGGGACGAACGGCCGGUGGAGUGGAAAGCCACCGGAUUGACGGUACCUGAGAAGGAAGCCACGGCUAACUACGUGCCAGCAGCCGCGGUAAUACGUAGGUGGCAAGCGUUGUCCGGAAUUAUUGGGCGUAAAGCGCGCGCAGGUGGGAUCUUAAGUCCAUUUUUAAAGUUCGGAGCUCAACUCCGUGAUGGGAUGGAAACUGGGAUUCUUGAGUACCGGAGAGGAAAGCGGAAUUCCCCGUGUAGCGGUGAAAUGCGUAGAUAUGGGGAGGAACACCAGUGGCGAAGGCGGCUUCCUGGCACAAUACUGACGCUCAUGUGCGAAAGCUAGGGCAGCGAACGGGAUUAGAAACCCUGGUAGUCC